AAAUGAAUAGACGGGGACCCGCACAAGCAGCGGAGCAUGUGGUUUAAUUCGAAGCAACGCGAAGAACCUUACCUGGAUUUGACAUCCCUCUGACCGUCUCUUAAUCGAGAUUUUCCCUUCGGGGACAGAGGAGACAGGUGGUGCAUGGUUGUCGUCAGCUCGUGUCGUGAGAUGUUGGGUUAAGUCCCGCAACGAGCGCAACCCUUGUCUUUAGUUGCCAUCAAGUAAAGUUGGGCACUCUAAAGAGACUGCCAAGGUAAACUUGGAGGAAGGUGGGGAUGACGUCAAAUCAUCAUGCCCUUUAUGUCCAGGGCUACACACGUGCUACAAUGGCCGAUACAACGGGCAGCUAAGGAGCAAUCCGGAGCAAAUCCUACAAAAUCGGUCCCAGUUCGGAUUGUGGGCUGAAAUUCGCCCACAUGAAGUCGGAGUUGCUAGUAAUCGCGAAUCAGCAUGUCGCGGUGAAUGCGUUCCCGGGUCUUGUACACACCGCCCGU
rnacentral:rRNA from 1 species